GGACUGGGGUGCUAUACUGCAGUCGACGAGUUCUCGUUGAUGAUCGGUGCUUGCACCGAGAUUCAACAUGGAACGAGUGGCGGACGGGUGAGUAACACGUGGGUAACCUGCCCUUAAGUGGGGGAUAACAUUUGGAAACAGAUGCUAAUACCGCAUAGAUCCAAGAACCGCAUGGUUCUUGGCUGAAAGAUGGCGUAAGCUAUCGCUUUUGGAUGGACCCGCGGCGUAUUAGCUAGUUGGUGAGGUAAUGGCUCACCAAGGCGAUGAUACGUAGCCGAACUGAGAGGUUGAUCGGCCACAUUGGGACUGAGACACGGCCCAAACUCCUACGGGAGGCAGCAGUAGGGAAUCUUCCACAAUGGACGCAAGUCUGAUGGAGCAACGCCGCGUGAGUGAAGAAGGCUUUCGGGUCGUAAAACUCUGUUGUUGGAGAAGAAUGGUCGGCAGAGUAACUGUUGUCGGCGUGACGGUAUCCAACCAGAAAGCCACGGCUAACUACGUGCCAGCAGCCGCGGUAAUACGUAGGUGGCAAGCGUUAUCCGGAUUUAUUGGGCGUAAAGCGAGCGCAGGCGGUUUUUUAAGUCUGAUGUGAAAGCCCUCGGCUUAACCGAGGAAGCGCAUCGGAAACUGGGAAACUUGAGUGCAGAAGAGGACAGUGGAACUCCAUGUGUAGCGGUGAAAUGCGUAGAUAUAUGGAAGAACACCAGUGGCGAAGGCGGCUGUCUGGUCUGUAACUGACGCUGAGGCUCGAAAGCAUGGGUAGCGAACAGGAUUAGAUACCCUGGUAGUCCAUGCCGUAAACGAUGAAUGCUAGGUGUUGGAGGGUUUCCGCCCUUCAGUGCCGCAGCUAACGCAUUAAGCAUUCCGCCUGGGGAGUACGACCGCAAGGUUGAAACUCAAAGGAAUUGACGGGGGCCCGCACAAGCGGUGGAGCAUGUGGUUUAAUUCGAAGCAACGCGAAGAACCUUACCAGGUCUUGACAUCUUUUGAUCACCUGAGAGAUCAGGUUUCCCCUUCGGGGGCAAAAUGACAGGUGGGUGCAUGGUUUGCCGUCAGCUCCGGUCCUGGAAAUGUGGGGUUAAGUCCCCGCACCGAGCGCAACCCUUUAUGACUAGUUUGCCAGCAA
rnacentral:rRNA from 2 species